rnacentral:lncRNA from 1 species
GUUAGUGUUAUUAUCAGAAAGAUUUUGUGGAACUAUUGCAUUUCAAGAUCAUCUACUAGUCUACUAGUUAAACCGUCAGUAACAACUGCACAAGGAUAAAUAAUACAGAAGUGACAGAACUGUAUCGAUAUGCGUUAAUCGUUAGAAAUUGGAAGGAGUUGCAUGCGAUAGCAUCAAAACUAUCAUCAGUAGAUUAGUGGCCACAUAAAAAUGUUUACUGAUCUGAGAACUAUCAAGGAUGGAUCCUAAAUGUGCAUGGGACUUCCUUCGUAAGAUGCGGAGGCUGAGGAUAAGUAGCCUACUGAGGAUAUGUGCUGGAAAAAUCAUUAAAAUAAACAAUCUAGAUUCUAGACGAUAGCAACCACAGCAAGAGACGUAAAGACCAUUGCUAAGAGCCUUAAGAAAGGUAGCUCUACGAAACUGAACUGUCAUCACAGACAGUUUUCUGCAGACAAGUGGGAGCUGCAUUAGGCACUAACACACUUGGACUGCAGAAGACUGCAGCACUCAAAUAUUUUUUUAUUUAGCUUGCGCAGAAGAAGAAAUUUGUGUAGAUAGAGCAAUUAUAAUGAUCAUUUGUUUGCAAUAUAGGUCUUUCGUUAUUAGCAUUUGUAAUUUGCUUGGAUAUAGGUCUUUCAUUAUUAGCAUAUGGUCACAUACCUCUGGAAGGAUUGGCCCCAGAUAUUUCAUUCUUUUGCCACCUUCAUAAUCGCGAUCUUCUUGGAAGGGCGAUGACUUUCUUUUACUCACAGAAGCGGGAGAACCGUCUGCGAGACAUAAGGCAUGGUUAUGAAUAGCACACAUUAACAGAGCAAAACAACUCAACACACAGAUGCACAUGCUGAAUUAAUAAAUUUCAUAUCUUAUCCAACUUUUGGUCAACAGACUGAUGAUUUUUUUUAUUGUUGAGAAUCCAAUUUGAGAAUGCAGAACAGUCAACAACUUAGAGUUAGAAACCCCAACUUGUUUCAGUUAAUGGGGAGAAAGCUUGAUUUGACCAUACAUAUCCCUGCAUAACUUUGCGAUCUCACCCAAGUAUUGUCAAUGCUGUUCAAACCAAUAGAAUAUGAUACGCUAGUCUAUAAUCCAGUACGAUCAAUAUCAUUUACCAAUCAAUUUUACACCAGCUUAACAGUGCAUUAGCUUCCUUGCUACCUUAGAAUGGUAGCACAUGGGGCCUCCCAAAUCUGAUGUCGUGUUUGUCCGCUUAGACUCCUACAGGAGGCAGCGGUAAGGAUAGUGUUCGAGUGGCUACUGAUGUCGCAUCCAGAACCAAAAUGUACUGCUAUAUUAGUACAGUAGUAUAUCAAGUCAAUGGACAUUAUAUUUAUCUUCAGAUCUCCUUGAAAUUGGCCCGUUUUAUCUUCAUGAUGAAGCCCACACUGGGACGGAAAGGGGCUUGUCUUCUAACCACCAAAGUAUACGGGUAAGAUUUACGCUCAAAUAAACAUCGCGUUGCCAGCUUAGACCAACCCAAAUGAAUCUGCUUGCUCUCCACAAACUUAAAAAUAACCAGCUUUCUCUCCCGUAAACGAAUAGAAGCUAAAAAAAGGAUCUUUUUUUUUGUACAUACACAGCCUAGUCCUGUUGUAGGAGAAUAUAAAGAACAAGAUGCAGGUGCCAGGGCAGAGAGGCCGGGGAGCUAACAAGAGGUGGCUUACCGUGGGCUUGGAUUCGCUGGCGACGCCGAUCCCGCUGCGCGGACAUGAACCGCUUGAGCGCCAGAAGCCCCAUGAUACGACGACGAUGCCUUGGGUCGAGACACGAAAUCUGUUUUCCUCUCUAACCUCUGCCUCUCUUUCGUUGCUCUAUUUAUUUCAAUCUACGGAGUCCGGCCUUCUAACAAAUCUGGACCUCGAUUUGAAACCAACAAGACACGAGGGAUGAAUUCGCGUCGGCGCCGGAAGGCGGGGCUUACAUAUCAGGGAACUCUCCAGAUCUAAUAUUUUGGCCUGACGGAUAGCCCUAAAACCUUGUUUGGUCAUUUACCUAAAAAAAAAAGGUUUGUUUGGUCAUGUACGGAGCUUGUCCCCAUCGCCGCUGCGCUCGUCCUCGGAGUUCGUCCCCCUUGCCGCCGCGCUCGUCCCUGGAGCUUUUCGCCGGCGUGCUCGUCCCCUCGACACCGGAGAUCUCUGCCACCUGGUCGUCCACCUCAUCGCCGGAGCUAGCCGCCGCCUCGCUUGUCCCCAUCGCCGCUGCUAGCUGCGCCUGUGCUCGCCGCCGAGGACCCGUCCUCCGCCGGAGCUCGUCCCCAUCGCCGCCGCUAGCUGCGCCUGCGCUCGCCGCCGAGGACCCGUCCUCCGCCGGAGUUCGUCCCCAUCGCCGCCGCUAGCUGCGCCUGCGCUCGCCGCCGAGGACCCGUCCUCCGCCCGAGCUCGUCCCCAUCGCCGCCGUUGGCUGCGCCUGCGCUCGCCGCAGAAGACACGUCCUCCGCCGGAGCUCGCCACCGCCGCUUGCCCACCUCCAUGCCCUGGCCGCCAUCUCUCUCAUCUCCUCGAUCGUGGCCGUCGACGGCGCAGCGGGCCUGGAGUGGGAGCGAUAGCGUGAGGCGGGGAGUGGGAGCAGGAGAUCGGCGCGGGAGCUGGAGGUGGAUGGGCCGCAUGGGGAGACGCCGCGCCGUGCGCUGGACGGCUCGCCGAGGACCAGCCCAACCAGUCCAUGGUGGCGGAAGGGGAAGAUGGAGAAGACGAUUUUUCUCUUUCUUUUUUUUCUAACUGAAGUUUGACCUCCUAACCAAACAUGAAACUGGUUGGUCCCGCCCUUUUCAACCAAACAUGAAAGCUGAGUGGUUCCACCUCUAAAAUCUGGUUGGAGCCAACCCACCCACGUCACUCGCCAACUAAACACACCCUUAAUGGAAUCAGGAGCGUGCUCCUUUUCUCUAUAGAAAAAAGUUCCGAUUCUACUUUGUAUUGUCAGAUUCUGAUGCUACUGUGUGCUCCUUAAUCUAUUGUGUUCAUCGUGCGCAUUGCUGAAGUUUCGUUCAUGUUGGCUGUCUACCUAAGUGUAUUUGGAGUAGUUGUUGAUUGUCAUUUGGAGUAGUUGUUCGCACAGAUUGUCAGUUUCUCGACGGAUGUAGUUCCGCUGACGCAGAAAUCUGAGGCUGGGAGCCUGGGUAGGCACUUGUUUAGGCAGCCCAGUACUUGUCUUUUCUGUUUUUAUGUUGAUCUCAUUGUGUCGCUGAUUCGCCAUGUUUACGGAGUUGUGUGUUGUUUUGAUCUCUGAGUUUUACUUUCUUGGUCAACUGAAUUUAUUUGUGAAAAACGAGCAGGGGUGAGGUGGGAGAUGCGAGCCACUUAUUUGGGGGUAGAUGUGUGUGAAGUGUUUGAGGUUUCGGGUUCAUCUUCAUAUUCGUUUGUAAUUUGCCACACCUUGCAGAGUCAAAUCUUUCUACUAAUACCAAAUUUUGCCACGCAUAAGGUACCAUUUUUAUUUUGCGGCAGCAUUGAUCUAAAUGUUAGUUGUAACAAGUUAUGCAUUACACUACUACAGAAAAGUUUAUCAGUAACGGUCGAAAAACAACAUCAGUAACGGUCGGGGCCGCCGUUACCAACUUCGUCGCAGUGACCGUUACUGAUGCAUAUAUACAUCAGUGGCGAGCGGGCCGACCCAACCGUUACUGAUGUAUAUAUCAUCAGUAACGAUCGCAUUGCCACAUCAGUGUCGGUCGAGCGACCGAUGCUGAUACAUUUUCGGUAUUUAAAAAAUAAUUAAAACCACAGAAAAUACACAUAAUAAUAUAUACAGCACAGAAAAAUGUAUCUGAUCACAGAAAAAUACAUAUAAAGCCGCAUCACAUCACAUCAAAUCACAUCAUUUAAAGCAUACAAAUGUAUAUAAGCCGCAUCAUUUAAAGCAUAUAAAGAAUACAAAUGUAUCUCACUUCACGACAUUGAUUACAAAGUGUCAAAAUUUCAUAGAAGCAUAUAAAGAAUACAAAUGUAUCUCAUUUCAAGCUUGAAGCUAUUGUCGUGGGUGAAUCCUAGACACCACUUGUUCCACGCGUUCGUAGAAGUUCUCACUAGGCUUGAUGACCUCAUUGUUGAUGAGAUGGGCGAACUCCCUUUGAAUGUUAUACACGACCCAUUUAGGUCGGUGUCCCAUUGUCAUUCGGGGCCGCCAGUACUCUUCCAUCGCCGCGACUGACCCCUUCCACUCAGGCUUGAACAUGCUGGCAUUCUCCAUAAGGAUGUGACAGCAGUAGUAGCCACAGAACACACUGCCGGGCGGCUGUUGCUGGCAAGGGAACCUGUGGUUGUGGUGAGUCUCGUCUUUAUAGCCUUUACCAGUUAGUUUUCCCUUGCCGCCACUUUCCAGGCAGUGUUAAUGACUGAUUCGAUGGGUUUCUAGAACUGGCCUCGAACACACUUCUUCGAAAGUAGUGAAUCGAAGUAGUACACCACGGACAAGGCAAACAAAUGAGUAGUGUCACCAAUGGUCUCUGUUUUCAAAAGAAACAAACUUUAGUAUCUAAGGGUGUAUAAGAAAGACUGAAUUAGAAAAAACAAACGGUUCCAUAUAUAAAAUUGAACUUACUCCAAAUUAAGGAAGAAGAGGAUAAAGUCGUGGUCCGCGUAUUUCUCGAGACAUGCCACCAAGUAUUUAGAUGCCAUGGUUCUUGAGGGAUCCUUUUCUGACUCAAGACCGAUGUCACCGUAGUUGAACAUCGCGGGGUCUAGAAUGGCUACUUUUUUGACCUCCAUUCGCCGCAGUUCUCUUAUUUGGUAGGCAGACCACAGCCUUAAGAGGUUGACAUCAAGCUUUUGGCGGUUGAAGAGGUGGAACAGUUCGUUGAACUCCACACCAAAGGUGAUAGGACGUUCCUGAAUGUUCCCGGUUUCUUGGUCAAAGAAACCAUAGUCUUUUGGGAUUCGAACAUUGAUUUGGUGGGCAUGCUGUUGAGAACCAGCUGAUGCUUGCAUGUAGAACUGAUGAUGCUCUUGCAUCUCUCUGGACAAGGCACGCAGGAAAUCUUCGGUGACCAACGGUCUUUUAGGAUAGUAAAUAAGCACCCGGUCAAACUCCCUAGCCACGAAAUAGGAUCCGUCUUCGAAUCUCUGGCCUUGACGGGGGUUCUUUAUGAGAAUGUCAGGCCUAUUGUCCUCCCAGACUCCAGUUAUGUCAGGCACAUAGUGCAUCUCAUCUUGAGUGACAUUGGAGGACUCCGUGAUGGUCUUGCCGCCACGCCCCCUCUUUUUAUGCCUCUUCUUAUUGUCCCAUGCCUUCUGCUUCUCUGCCUUGUACUUGUCAUCGAUCUUGCGGCCACCCAUGGACUCAACGGCACCCAAGAGAGAGAAGGUAGGAGGGACGCUUCCAGCCUGUGCCGACCCUGUGGUCUGGCUAUCUUUGAGCUGUGGAGGCAUUGACAUUGCCCGCUCUUCAUCUCCGCCGGCAUCGACAGGAGGUAGUAUCCUAGGGGAAAGGCCGAGCGGUGAUUGAGAAGUACCUUUGUGGGCGGAGGGAGAUGGAGUCAUAGAGGGCUGGUGCUGGUUGUAGAGAGAUACCAAGCUCUUAGGUCACAUAAUGCGGUAGUUUGGACAACCGCUUAGGAUAUCCACGCCUUCCUCCAGAGGUAGCAGGAUAGCAUAAUCCCGAUGCUCCUCGACGACGGAGUCCACCAUCACACUCACUUGUGCGUCGUUCAUAAGAAUGUCGUGCACCAGUGGCGGUGAUUGUCUGGGCAUCAGGCGGACAAUGGCGCCUACAGGCUUCUCAGGCUUGUCUACGUGGAUACGACACUUCACCGGUGCCUGCGCGUAACAAGAAGAAGGGAUAUGUGUGUAAGAUCUUUAUUCAUGAAGGUAAGGAGUGAAAAAGAGUUUGAAAAAUAUGCUUACAAGGAUGUUGUCGCUCGGACCCGGAUCGUUAUACCGGAUGCCCUCGCUUGGGUCCGGUUGGCUAGUGGGGGGGUUGUCCAUGCUAGGAGCCGAACUAUAACCUGGGGUGUAGGUGUCUUCGUCGUCCAUACGUGUGUCGGAGGCGGCGCUGCUCUUUAGCGGGGUGCUCUUUCGCGGGGGAAGCGGAAGAAGAGGAGGAAGGAGGUUUCUCAAACCUUUCACUCCUCCCCCGAGUAUGGCGUCAAAGGCGGGGUGGUCUUUGGCCAAUGCCAACACCAAAUGAUGGACGGAUUGCACUGCAUAUUCUCGCGAAACCUCUUGAGACACGAUAGAUGCCUGCUCUCGCGCCUCUGCCUUAGCUUGUUCUAUUAUUUCAGCAGAAGCGGGGAGCUUUUUCUGGAUCCUGCUUCGCUUCGGAGCAGGCCGGAAAUAAUCAUCCCAGCAGGCCCCUUCGCCUUCAACUCGGCCACCUGCCGUAAGAUACCAGACAGUCUUUGUCGGCCUGUCCUUCAUCACUUCUUCCCCAUCGUCUUCGCCAGCUCUGGCGCUUUUCCUCUUGUAUCUCGAUGCACCGCAUAUGUGGCAGGUCUCAUGGUUCUCGUACUCUCCAAUGUAUACCAUGCAGUCGUUUGGACAUGAAUGAUAUUUCACGCAAUCUAAUCCAAGCAGGCAUGUAAUCUUCUUCGCAUCGUAUGUGUUCUUGGGCAACUUGUUUGGCUGUGAAAAAACCGAAGCAAGGUAACUCAACAAGUCCGUGAAGCUCUUGUCUGACCAGCAUGAUGCUGCCUUCAGCCUCAAAAGUUCGAGCGCCACUUCGAGCACGUUGUUUUCUUCGCCAGCUCCAUCAUACAAGGGUGUGUUUGCGUCCUCCAACAAUUUUUUGAACUGAGCAGACUCUGCCUCAUCUUCGGGGUCCUCCAGCUGGUCCCGUAGGUACAGCUCAUCUAGCAUUUCGGCAAUCCUACCACGUGGACCUCCUUCACGUUUCACAUUAGCCUCCUCAUCGACCCUUGUUUCUUCCUCGAAAUCAUUCGCCAGAUCAUACCACAGGACAUCAUCAUCUUCGCUACCGCUACUAACAUCAACCGCAUCCUCCCCGUGACAAGUCAAAUGAGAAUAGCCUUCCACAAAACCCGAUGCCAGCACGUGCAUAUGAACAUCUUCAGGCUUCAUCAUGCAUGUGUUUCCACAUUUGCGACAUGGACAACGCAUCAUCACAAGUCCUUUUCGUUCCAUAUCACUUUUCGCGACUCCAAAAAAGACCGUCUAUUCGGUUAUCCAUCGAGCAUUGAUUCUUUACUUGGCGUACAUCCAAGAACGGUCCUUCGAUCUACAACACAAUACACAAGAAAACAAACAAAGCAAAAUAGUUAGCCUAAUCAUUGACAAAGGGAUUAAGGUGUUAAUUAACCGGAGCUAACUAAAAAUUUGAAAUUAGAGACAUUCGGAGAGAAAUUGGAGGUCGGCGAGAAAGAUCGGGAGGGAGAGAGAGCUCGUAAGGGAGAGGAAAGGUCCGGGCGACGACGAGGAGGCCGCAUUUUGGCCGGCGGCCGGAGCUCAAAAAUUUGAAAUUGGAGAACUUCGGAGAGAAAUUGGAGGCCGGCGAGAUAGAUCGGGAGGGAGAGUGAAGCUUCGGGGUCGAAGAUCGGAGCUUGCCGGCCGCCGGAGCUCCAAAAAUGGAGCUCGGCGGCCAUGGCCGCCCGCCGGCCAUGGAGACGGCGGCCGCCGGCGCGGGGGGGGGGGGGGGGGGGGAGAGGAGGAAGGGAGAGGGAGGAGGGGCUACCUGGGGGGCAGGCCGGCAGCCAUGGCGCCGUCGGGCAGCGCUUCGCCGUCGCCGGAGAAGAAGGGCCGCAGCUGGUCCGUUACGACGCGUAGCGCGACCAGUUGCGGCUCUGUUCUUCGUAUUUAAACCACGAUACUCAUCAGUGGCGGUCGGGAAUUGAGCGACUGUUACUGAUAAUAAGGGGUACAUCAGUAACAGUCGCGUUAGGGUGCGACUGUUACUGAUGUAUGGUUCAUCAGUGGCGGUCGUCUCUUAACCGACCGCCACUGAUGUCUCUCGCGAGGUAUGAUGGUUCAUCAGUGACGGUCGCCUCGCGCGACCGCCACUGAUGUGUGGCCGGGCGGGGACGGGCAGACCCUGCUCUGUUCAUCAGUAACGGUCGCGGCCGCGACCGACACUGAUAUUGUUCAUCAGUAACGGUCGCGCCGGACCCGUUACUGAUGUGUCGUUGCAUAUAGACCGUUUUGUAGUAGUGUUAAUAAACGCUAGCACAGAGUGCUCGUGCGAUGCUACGGAACAAACUAAUACAUGACAUACGAAAUGAUUCUAUUUCAUAGAUGUUAACUAUGCCAAUGCAUUUCUAAUUCUCACUCAAAGUUUAGCGUCAUGGAAUAAAAAGUUCGUAUGUACAUAUAUAAUGCAAGGUGGUUCUACUUCAUGAACACAAAUGCUAAGUUGCAGUUCUAAAUCUUUACUACUCCUUCCAUCCCAUAUUAAGUGACUUUUUAUUACAUGUAUCUAGACAUUUUUUAGGCAUAGAUACAUCCAUAUUUGGACAAAUUAGAGUCACUUAAUAUAUGUGACGGUUGCAAUGAUAGAAAGAACCGUAAAUAUCCACGGAUGUUGUGGCCUCAGCUAAUAUGCUCCAGUUUACCGGUAAGUGUUAUAGGUAACAAAAACAAGCUGAAUUUUUUAGCACUCAGCUAGCCAAUUGUCCCCCAUAUAACUGUGACAGGUAUGUGGAUUCAUUAUAAUCUAUACGUAAAUACAGAUUUCUUGAUGAGUCUGCCUAGAUAUCGGAGCAAUCUUGGUUCAUACCAACCGACAAAAAAAUAGAUGAUUAUAUAUGCACCUGAUCAUAUGUAUUUUGGGGGCAACGUUCCAACUUGCAAUGAUAUUUUCUUCCUCUCCAAGAGAAGUUACAAGGGUAUGCUUAGCAAGGCAGUAGCAGAAAUGUUUGGUUCUGUGACAUGAAAUGCCGAGAAUGCAAUCAACAUUUUAAUAGCAAUAUUAUUUCCUGAGCAAACGACGUGCACGGUGAUUUGCUCCUUUAACCCUGGAGUUGAGUUCAUCCACAUCAUCCUCUAGACCAUUCAUCCUUUUGUUCUGCCUGCAAUUCGAAAUGCAUAAGGACAAAAACAUUCAGCAGGCGCACAUGCACAUAGCCAACAAAUAAAAGAUGAAAUGGAUUAUUCGUUGUAAAUUUCACUCAAAAGAUUCCUUUUUAGUUAAAUUUGCUCUUAGAAAGUGUCAAGAAAGUUUUCUCAUAAAUUUGAUAUAAUUUUUAUCAAACUUUAAGAAGUUCGACUUAGGAUAAAGCUAGGAUUUGUAUUUAGGAACAGAGGUAGUAGUUAAUAUCCAGAAUAUUGGGUGCGUGUAUAAAAAAGCAACGGAUAAGGAGAAUGGAUGUAUUUGGGAAGCAAAAGCAAUGAAUAAGUACCUCAGACAGCAAGCUCUAGGCCAUCUCAGGCUAAUUUCUAAAAGCUCUAGCCUUUGUACACAUCAUAGUUGGAUGAUAGCUGGUCCCCUCUUCCAAAUCACAAAUUGCACCCAAAGUCAUAUGAUUCCUUUUAGCAAGGGAAAUUGGGCCAUCAAAUUUGUGUGAGCUUUUUUAUCUUAUUUUUUGUGUAAUGUGCACAGUAAACAGGACAGACGAUUUUAUAUUAUUCUUGCAUAGUGAAAACGAUGCUACCUGCAACCAUGUGCUGGCUGCCUGGCUAAACUAAAACUUUGUAUGGACUGCUACUGCUAAUAGCUUGUAACCACACAAGCUGGCCAACACAUUAUAUAAUCGGUCUCUUUUUUGUGUGUGGUAUGAGGCCAUGUACACUUGCUACUUUUCUUAUAGGAUUUAUUAAUAUUAUACAUACGGUUAUCAUCUCAGAUGCACAGCAACUAAUGCCCUUUGGUUUAGCAUUAUCAUGAAUGAGCUCCAUCCCAAAUGAUACUAACAACGUAACAAUCAACCUAAAUCCUCUGUUUUACUACUGGUAGUGAAUAAGAUAGGGCCUAGGGGGUUCUGGAAAUUUGAAGUUUGUAGCAUGGAAGUGGACGGGCGUGCAGUACAGCCGCUGCUGUUGCCCUGAACAGGAGAAGAGUAAGUCUCCAGUCUCCUCUGCGCGUAAGGGAUCCACCAUCAUCAAACGAAACGCGAGCGGCACCGGAACAUAAGAAACGGGAUUAACGAACCAAAUCAAAUCCUCACAAAUCCAUCCUAAUAAACGAACCAUGGGAAUUAGGAAGUAUUUACCAGUGCUGAGAGAAGCCACCACGGAUCUAGAUGAGCACUUCACCACGGAGAAAGCUGGAGUGUUCCCGGCUCUCCCGCGCGCCCUCUCCCGUUCUCCCGUGCCUCCUCGCCUCCUCCACGAUCUUCCCUUGCGGGCCCGAAGUGGCCCCGUUGGGUGGAAGGAGCCCAUAGAGGAGAUAGUCAAGGUGGACCGGAAAUGGUUCGCGAGAAAGCCUAGAGAUCGAUCUCCGGACCGGCGGCGGAUCGGCUUCCGUCGAUCCAGUCACCCCGCUAGCCACCUCCAUCCACUGGCACAUAUCACUCGCGGGUCUCUAAAACCCGCCACUGAUGGCUCACAUGUGAACUCUGAAAAAACCAAAAAACGGUUAUGACUAACCACGUACUCGACUUGAGUAUACCGUUACGGUCCAGUUGGGGCCCACAAGAAAGGCUACUACGACUCCAGAAAUCCAUAUGCCAAAUCUUGCGACUCAAGACAAAAAAGUUUAAUUAGAGUAUAUCUCCUCAAUCAUUGUAACCGACUUAAACUCUACCUGAGACCCGGCCUCCUGCAUAUAUAAAAGACCAGGAGGAUGAGCCAAGAGGAUCCCAACCUAGAUAGAAGCCGUCUAGACGCACUCGCCAGAUCGAAUCUGUGUAUCUAGCUCCACGGCACCCUUUGUAAUCGACUCAUCAAUACCAGAUCAGACAAACAGGACGUAAGGGUAUUACCUUCCGAGGGCCUCGAACUUGGGUAAAUCGUGCCCCCUGUGUCCUUAUUAGCCGACGAGAUCGUCAACACAUACACUCGAAAUCUUUCCUAGAUAUAAGUCCACCAAUAUGGACAUUGUCGAAAUCCUAACUUCGUCAGGCGGGUUUUCAAAAACCCGCCACUGUUAGCACCCUAUCAGUGGCCAUGCUAUCAGUGGUGGGUUUGGCGGUUUUUAGAUCCCACCUGAAAGAUCGGUAUGGUCGGUUAGAGGAGGGGGUGAAUAGGCGACUAACAAAUUUUAACGUUUUCCUUUUCUUUUCUUGAAAGAUACAAACACUUAAUCCUAAGGCUCACUAGAUUUUCUAAAGUGAAUGCAACCCUAGUAUGAAGUGCAAUAACCGAAACACUGGCCAAAACAAAAGAUAGACAAUGAACCCACGUGUUACUGUCUUGUUAGAUAUUUUGACAGUUUAAGGAGGCUCUCCUAGCAACUGGAACAUCCUACUAUCUGCUAUGAGUAGCAUAACAUGCUAAUCGAUGCAAAAUUUGAUACUCUAUAGCAUUCCAAACAACCGGUGAUAUUUGUAUUUCCAACAUCAAAAGCAAAUGUUACACCUACAGAAUUGUGCUGCUAUUCCGGGUGACCAUUUAUAUCUGAUCAAGGCUAAAAUUGAAGGACAUCUGGAACCACAAGUCAGUGUAAAUGUGUGAACUGGCUUGCAUGUGAUUCCAAUAUUAAUUGAAGAUACAGUACAAAGCAGACAGAAAACCAUUAUUAGGAAGUUUGGAAAUUGGAUAAAUUCCAAUCAACAGAUCAUUGUCAAACAAAAAGUCAAUAAUGGAUAAAUGUAUACCUCGUCCACGGCCCCACUCUUUAUCUUAGACUGCAUUAUGCACCAUUUCUUGAAAUGCGCACCUGGAAGCGCAGAGUGGCCACCACAUUCAUCAAAUUGCAAAAAAGAAAAUAGAAAAAAAAACAUUUCCAGUUUUGUUCGAGAAUAGAAAUCGCAAGAUAACAAAAGAAGAGAACACAAACUACAGAGAUAAGAAGGAAAAACCAACCCGCACUUAUUUUAAGAUUGCACGAACUAGAAUUGAUAGUUUUCACAGACCAUCUACAGAAUGUAUCUAGAAAUUGGCUCAUCAGAAAAAACACGGAAAAAAGAAUAAAUAAGAUGAGAUUCGUCCUCCCCCUACAUAUUUAAUUUCUUCUCCUAUACAAAAACUAGCAAGACCCACUCCAUUGGUAAUCCCAUCAAUGACACCCUUAUCGAAAAACUCCGUUAGUUCGGUUAAUCCUCUUAUACCCAAGGUAAAGAGCCUACUAUAGAAAAUAUCUAUAUAACCACGAUUAUAUGACCAACUGUAUAUCUUUUUUUUUACUUGAUAAAAAAAGUUCUUUUUUGGAC